rfam:Micromonospora nigra strain DSM 43818 genome assembly, contig: Ga0070616_13
CUUGAUCGAGCCCAGCCAGAGCGGAUCGCCCCCGCCGCGCUCCUGCCCGUACGUGGUGAGCAGCGCCUGCGCCUC